CAAUGGAAAUGGGGGACUGAAUGCAAAGAGGAAAGCGAAUUUCCCGGUUAACGGGAAAAUGCUUAGGAAUUGGAGGAACCCCAGUGGGGAAGGGCGGUUUUUGGAUUGUAAAUGACGCUGAGGCGGAAAAGCGUGGGGAGAAAACAGGAUUUGAUACCCUGGUAGUCCACGCCGUAAAGGAUGAGUGCUAGGUGUGGGGGUGUCAUGCCCUCGGUGCGAAGGUAACACAUUAAGCACUCCGCCUGGGGAGUACGUUCGCAAGACUGAAACUCAAAGGAAUUGACGGGGACCCGCACAAGCAGUGGAGUAUGUGGUUAAUUCGAAGCAACGCGAAGAACUUUACCAGGUCUGNACAUCCCUCUGAAUACGCUAGAGAUAGGGUAGGCCUUCGGGACAGAGGAGACAGGUGGUGCAUGGUUGUCGUCAGCUCGUGUCGUGAGAUGUUGGGUUAAGUCCCGCAACGAGCGCAACCCUUGAUCUUAGUUGCCAGCACCUUGGGUGGGCACUCUAGGAUGACUGCCGGUGACAAACCGGAGGAAGGUGGGGAUGACGUCAAAUCAUCAUGCCCCUUAUGACCUGGGCUACACACGUACUACAAUGGUCGGUACAACGGGAAGCGAAGGAGCGAUCUGGAGCGAAUCCUUAUAAGCCGAUCUCAGUUCGGAUUGCAGGCUGCAACUCGCCUGCAUGAAGUCGGAAUUGCUAGUAAUCGCGGAUCAGCAUGCCGCGGUGAAUACGUUCCCGGGUCUUGUACACACCGCCCGUCACACCACGAGAGUUUACAACACCCGAAGUCGGUGGGGUAACCCGCGAGGGAGCCAGCCGCCGAAGGUGGGGUAGAUGAUUGGGGUGAAGUCGUAACAAGGUAA
rnacentral:rRNA from 1 species